rnacentral:piRNA from 1 species
UGAGAAGAGCCACCUUUAAUCUGGGCC